rnacentral:rRNA from 1 species
GGCGGACGGGUGAGUAAUACUUAGGAAUCUGCCUAUUAGUGGGGGAUAACGGCUCGAAAGGGUCGCUAAUACCGCAUACGUCCUACGGGAGAAAGCAGGGGAUCGUAAGACCUUGCGCUAAUAGAUGAGCCUAAGUCGGAUUAGCUAGUUGGUGGGGUAAAGGCCUACCAAGGCGACGAUCUGUAGCGGGUCUGAGAGGAUGAUCCGCCACACUGGGACUGAGACACGGCCCAGACUCCUACGGGAGGCAGCAGUGGGGAAUAUUGGACAAUGGGGGGAACCCUGAUCCAGCCAUGCCGCGUGUGUGAAGAAGGCCUUAUGGUUGUAAAGCACUUUAAGCGAGGAGGAGGCUCCCGUAGCUAAUAUCUACGGAGAGUGGACGUUACUCGCAGAAUAAGCACCGGCUAACUCUGUGCCAGCAGCCGCGGUAAUACAGAGGGUGCGAGCGUUAAUCGGAUUUACUGGGCGUAAAGCGUGCGUAGGCGGCUUUUUAAGUCGGAUGUGAAAUCCCCGAGCUUAACUUGGGAAUUGCAUUCGAUACUGGGAAGCUAGAGUAUGGGAGAGGAUGGUAGAAUUCCAGGUGUAGCGGUGAAAUGCGUAGAGAUCUGGAGGAAUACCGAUGGCGAAGGCAGCCAUCUGGCCUAAUACUGACGCUGAGGUACGAAAGCAUGGGGAGCAAACAGGAUUAGAUACCCUGGUAGUCCAUGCUGUAAACGAUGUCUACUAGCCGUUGGGGCCUUUGAGGCUUUAGUGGCGCAGCUAACGC